UUUCAACGGAUGGGAAUCGAACCCACGACCUUCCGCUUACCGGGCAGAUGCCAUGACCACUAGGCUACCCUGGA
rnacentral:tRNA from 1 species